AUUAAAAAUUAUUUAAAUUUCGCGGAUUAACUAAACUAGGGUAACUCAUUCCGCGAGAUGACGCUGAAAUCAACAUAAUGGGAAAAAUAGUGGGGAGUAAUGCUUCUAUUAUAGUAUAUUAUAUUUUUCUGAGAGUCGUGUUCUUGGUUUUGGCGUUCGGUGUUUUCAAUAUUUCAUUUUGAAUUUAUUGCGGUUUUAUUUAAUAUUAUCUGUCUUUAUUAAGACAAAAAUUCGAUUGUGAUUUUUCUAUAAGGUUAAAUCAUGCCGUUCACCUUAGAAGAAGACAAGUUUCAAAGACUCUUCUCCGAUCUUAUCUUCGAAAUGGAGUAAACGACCAAAAUGGGGUAUGGAAAUAUUCAACAGGUCUUUGUGUAGAGGAAUUUAGAGAGACGUUCCCUGAAAAUGUAGUGAAUUACGAUACCUUAUGUCAUCACAUUACACAGUACAACACAUGAUUUCGGGACUCAAUUCUGAUAAUUGUUUAUGAAAGUAGCCCCAAAAAGAAGAACUUCUGCAUCAUUCGUAUGGUCAUGGUACAUCAAAUAAUAAGGUAUUGUCAAAAUUCUUUGCACUACCCAGUGCUAAAACGAUGAGUAUUCUAUUAUCCAGAAUUCCUGUACAACCAGGUAUACUCUUCCACAUCUCGGUCGGUUUUUAUGAUUCUGUCACUUUCCUACUGUAGUUGUAAAACGAACAAAGACGGGGUUGUAAAAGGUAGUUUCCCAUUGUAGCAUGCUGGGAUUCCUCACUCAGGGCCGCAUUAAGGAACACCCUUUACUUGCAAAUUGUAGAACAAUAAUAGGGUGAUAUACAAAUACUCAUUAAUCUUUUAUUUGUUGUGUUUCUAAUAUUAAGUACAUAUUUUUUCUAAGAAAUGUUUUGAGAAGGCAUGCAUUGUCUAAUUACAAAAGUGGGCGGAGGAUAAUUAGAUUCUUUAAAAUUUUAUUCUAUUAUUUAGACAUUCCUAAAAAUAAUAUUCUUUUCUAAGAAACACUUUAAAAUAGCUUAUGGAAACUACUUAUAAAAGAGGACAGGGGAGAUUGUCGAUGAGUAUUUUGUUAAAGGGCACGUGAGAGGUAUCGUAAGAAAAGAAAAUGUUUCGUCCUUGGGUAAACGAGUCACCAUCUACGAAUACUUCGCCAAAACAGUCUUAUUCCGAAGACAGUAAAAGAAUAGUUGUUAACGUUUACGUAAAAUUACAAGAAAAGGAUUGUUCUGCUGUGUGUAAAGUUACCAGUGAAUUGACAGGGGUACUUGUAACAACGGUACGUAGAUUCAUUGCGCAAUUGGAGAAUAGAGAAACUGCAAGCGUUCGACCCACUAAAGCUUCUCAGCUUUUCCAAAGAAUUCCGGAUACUUAAGCUGACCGUCCACUAGCGCGGAAAGAGCGACGCGGCGCGGUUUUUAUAAGAACUAUUGGAAAUAAAUGUAUCUCCGUCCACUAGGUCGGCCGCGCAAGGUAAAGCCGCACUGCGCGGCGCGGUUUUUCCAAUUCUCCUCCGAGAAUCGAAGAGCGGCAUUGAGUCACGCCGCGCCACCAUAUGACGUAAUUGGUAGACACUGUCUAGGAGUUUUGUCGUCUUCGGGGCAAAUAAUCGCUUCGAAGUAUCGACGCGUUCGCACUUCAGUACCAGGUUUAUGUCAGUUUAGAUGCAAAAAUGGUCGAAGAAAAAUUUUUAGUGUUAGUACAAGAGUACAAACAAUUGUAUGACCUGUCGGACCCAAAUUAUCAUAAUAUUCUGGUCAAAGAAAAUUCGUGGGAGGAAAUUGGGACAAAGUUAAAUAUAUCAGGUAAUAAUAUUUGGUAAUUAGAAAUUUAAAUUUACACAAGUGAUACUCAAUUAUUAAUAUUAUUAUAUUUGAAAUAUUUAAAUAAUAAUCACUUCACAUCAAUUCUUCCCUGUGUGACGGCACGACUUUGCCACUCAACAGACCCAUCUGGACUUGAAAAAUAAUUUUUAAAUUUUUCCCUAACUUUAUAUCCAUCCCCAGCAAAGGAACCGCCAAUAUUGUUCAUAUUUUGCAAAGCAUUAUUGUACGCGCAGCAAUAAGCUGGGUAAUUAAGAAGAGGUGCUGAUUUCAAUUUUGUUAAGAAAUAUGAAAAUAAAAAGAUAAAAUUGU